UACGAAGGGGGCUAGCGUUGUUCGGAAUUACUGGGCGUAAAGCGCACGUAGGCGGAUAUUUAAGUCAGGGGUGAAAUCCCGGGGCUCAACCCCGGAACUGCCUUUGAUACUGGGUAUCUCGAGUCCGAGAGAGGUGAGUGGAAUUCCGAGUGUAGAGGUGAAAUUCGUAGAUAUUCGGAGGAACACCAGUGGCGAAGGCGGCACUCUGGGCCGGUACUGACGCUGAGGAGCGAAAGCGUGGGGAGCAAACAGG
rnacentral:rRNA from 1 species